rnacentral:rRNA from 1 species
GACAGAGGGUGCAAACGUUGUUCGGAAUUACUGGGCGUAAAGCGCGUGUAGGCUGCUUGGAAAGUCGGAUGUGAAAGCCCUGGGCUCAACCCAGGAAGUGCAUUCGAAACUUCCGAGCUCGAGUUCUGGAGAGGAUAGCGGAAUUCUCGGUGUAGAGGUGAAAUUCGUAGAUAUCGAGAGGAACACCGGUGGCGAAGGCGGAUCUCUGGGCCAUUACUGACGCUGAGGAGCGAAAGCGUGGGGAGCGAACAGG